GAACUGAAAUUUAUCAAAAUACUGCAAAAGCCAUGGAGUGCCUGGGCAAAAUUUGUGUAAGUCAUUUCUGGAUUCCACCAACAACAGUGAAAAGUGGAUUAAAAAAAUAAUAAUUUGAAAAGUAUAGUUUUCUAAUUCCAUAAAAAAAUAUUCACGUACACACACCAGGAAUGUACAUAAAACAAUUUUCACUACAAGACUAUACAUUACACAGGUUAAACGAUGAUGCAAGCAAACACGAACUGUUAACAAAGCAACAUAUUUAGAUAACUUAUUGAAGAAAAAAACAAAAAAACAAAAAAACAUCUCAUUUAAUUUUUUUUAAAUUAAAUCAAGGUAAGAAAAAAAAGUCUGGCCCUGUAAAAAGAGAUUCUUCUGUUGAAUCAUGGGGUUGAAUGCAGAUACAACGAGCUUCAAAUCACCACCUAACAAUACCGACACUUUAACAUGCGCACGCUCCCAUCCCUCCACACCAAACCAGAGGCAGAGAAAUGCAUCCAGUAAGUCUGUCUCUCUGGGCUCACUUUAUUAUCAUACCACAUCAUCUCAUCAAGCUCUGGGCCAAUCGACAGAUAAUCUAGCGUAACUGGUAAUGGUAACUAGACGAGCAGGUUUAUUAAUUAAUCACUACAGGCCAGCAUUCAAGCAGAGAUGCUCAGGGUAUUCUCUCGUAAAUCAUCUUUUGAAGUUUGAACAUCAUGGACAAUAAUAAUGCCAUUGUUGAAUUAAUCUUGGUUGCGCGUUUACCGUUGAAUAAUGAUCACCAUAUCUGCAGCGAUAUAACAUCCAAAGAUAUAAUGAGAAUUUUUUCAUUACUGUAUAUAAAAAACGGUGUCAGUCUCCAACUUCCGCAAAACAAAUUCAAUUUACAACUAAACCCUGCCACAGUAUGGUGAUACUCUUAUAAACUUAGCGAUGAUGCUCAAUUAUAUCUGCUUGGGUGAAAUAUUCUACCGAUGCACGGAUUUUGUCUAAAUUUACCCACACCAUUUCCUUAUCCUCGAAGUAACUCCUACGAGGGUGGAGGAGGGAAAGCGACCGUGACGUCACGGACCCCAGGCAAGCGAGAGGACUAAUCAGAGUGGCUCGACGACAAUGGUAUAAAAGCAAGCCGUCACACGGCUCCACCUCGAUUCAACGACUGACCGAUCACACUGACAAGCUAGGACACAGCGGCCCGGAGUAAUUACCUCAGUCACAAGAGAGUUCCACAACACUCAGGCAUGAGACAAACAGCGUGCCACCUCGCCAUGGUUGCCCUGGCAACAAUGUGUGUGAUUGCGGUUGCCGUCGCUGGGAAAGAAAGUAUGGAACCGUCAGUGCGACAGGACAGUCAGACAGGAGGUCGCUUGUCCUACCUCCUGUCUAAGCGUUCCAGUGGUCUUUCGUUACUCGCUCCCCCAAGCCGCUACUCCCCUUACUUAAAACCCAUUUCGGCCAAACGAGACAACGGAUACUGGGUUUGGAUGCCUGCCCAUGGAUACAUGACUGUACCCCAGGACGAGGCUUCAGAAGGUUCGGAGAGCAAGGAUGGAGUCAGCAACCUCCUCCGUUACGGUUAAACAACAGUUCAGUUACAAGUCCUAAAUGUUCACAGUUUAAUGAAGACGCUGUCAGUGUGGAUUUGACUUUCUCAAAAUCAACAAAUAAUUCUUAACCCAAGGUCUAUUUUUGUAACUCAAUGCAUGCACAGAAAUAGUAAUAGUUCUCUAAAGACUAGCAGUAGUACCUUCCUAACAAUUUGCAGUAGGACAUUCCUGAUGAUCGGCAGUAGUACUUCCCUCAAGACUGGUAGUAGUGCUUUACUAAAGACAUUCCUGUAAUGGCUUGAGGAAGAAGGGAAAUCUAAAGAACUUAUUGAACAAUGCUGAAGCUCUGGUCCUGUACAUAUUCCUUCCACUGAUGGGGCUACUUCUACAAUGUGUUGGGUGUGGGGUCCAGGCUAGUGGCAGCACAACUACUUAUCGUUACAAAAUCAAACGAUGGGCGGCAGAAGCGGGGACUGUGGAACAUUGUGCAAUAAAUGGGUAUCAUAAAAGA